rnacentral:rRNA from 1 species
GAUGAACGCUGGCGGCGUGCUUAACACAUGCAAGUCGAACGAAGCACUUUAUUUGAUUUCCUUCGGGACUGAUUAUUUUGUGACUGAGUGGCGGACGGGUGAGUAACGCGUGGGUAACCUGCCUUGUACAGGGGGAUAACAGUUGGAAACGGCUGCUAAUACCGCAUAAGCGCACAGCAUCGCAUGAUGCAGUGUGAAAAACUCCGGUGGUAUAAGAUGGACCCGCGUUGGAUUAGCUAGUUGGUGAGGUAACGGCCCACCAAGGCGACGAUCCAUAGCCGACCUGAGAGUGUGACCGGCCACAUUGGGACUGAGACACGGCCCAAACUCCUACGGGAGGCAGCAGUGGGGAAUAUUGCACAAUGGGCGAAAGCCUGAUGCAGCGACGCCGCGUGAGCGAAGAAGUAUUUCGGUAUGUAAAGCUCUAUCAACAGGGAAGAUAAUGACGGUACCUGACUAAGAAGCACCGGCUAAAUACGUG